rnacentral:rRNA from 1 species
AUUGCCCUAGUAACGGCGAGUGAAGCGGCAACAGCUCAAAUUUGAAAUCUGGCCCUCGGGUCCGAGUUGUAAUUUGUAGAGGAUGCUUUUGGUGCGGUACCUUCCGAGUUCCCUGGAACGGGACGCCAUAGAGGGUGAGAGCCCCGUCUGGUUGGAUACCAAUCCUCUGUAAAGCUCCUUCGACGAGUCGAGUAGUUUGGGAAUGCUGCUCUAAAUGGGAGGUAUAUGUCUUCUAAAGCUAAAUACCGGCCAGAGACCGAUAGCGCACAAGUAGAGUGAUCGAAAGAUGAAAAGCACUUUGAAAAGAGGGUUAAACAGUACGUGAAAUUGUUGAAAGGGAAGCGCUUGUGACCAGACUUGGGCCCGGUUAAUCAUCCAGCGUUCUCGCUGGUGCACUUGGCCGGCCCAGGCCAGCAUCAGUUCGGCGCGGGGGAUAAAGACUUUGGGAAUGUGGCUCCUCCGGGAGUGUUAUAGCCCACUGUGUAAUACCCUGCGCUGGACUGAGGUUCGCGCAUCUGCAAGGAUGCUGGCGUAAUGGUCAUCAGCGACCCGUCUUGAAACACGGACCAAGGAGUCGUCUUCGUAUGCGAGUGUUCGGGUGUUAAACCCCUACGCGUAAUGAAAGUGAACGCAGGUGAGAGCUUCGGCGCAUCAUCGACCGAUCCUGAUGUUCUCGGAUGGAUUUGAGUAAGAGCAUACGGGGCCGGACCCGAAAGAAGGUGAACUAUGCCUGUAUAGGGUGAAGCCAGAGGAAACUCUGGUGGAGGCUCGCAGCGGUUCUGACGUGCAAAUCGAUCGUCAAAUAUGGGCAUGGGGGCGAAAGACUAAU